GGGGAUGAAAGGAUUUCGACGGGGAGGAUGAACCUCGGUAAGCGAGCAGCGGUGCGGGACCGCUAUAAAAUCCGCAACGUUUAAAUAAUAAACGACAACAAAACAGUUUUAAAAGCUGCUUAAAUAGCAGCCGUCUUUGCCGGGAGCACUGCGGCCCGGUAUAAGGCGUCGAUUAGCAGUGAACGUGCACGGGUGAGUGUUUCGUAACCCGUCAUGAAAAACGGGACUACCAAGGCUCCGAGCCUGCCUGACGGCGCGGCGCUGAGGGAAUGUUAAAAGACAGGCUACGCUCGUAGAAAGCUGUGGGAAUUUCUUUUCGGACGCGGUUUCGAUUACCGCCAUCUCCACCA
rnacentral:tmRNA from 1 species